ensembl:lncRNA
GGGAAAUGUUUGCGGUUUUACUGAAAUAUACACAAGUACGCCCUAGACUUGAGAUUUAUUCGCCAUUCCUCUUUUUUGAGUCGCGAAUAUUUCGGCGUACAGAGGAGACACUCCCACACACAGCAACUCUACAGACAUGUCAGACUCCGAGACCGCCGCUCCGGCUGAGGCCCCCGUCCCUGCCGCAUGUGAAAGCAUCAAGGUGGACCUGGACAAAUGUGUGAAGGAGGGCGGUGACUGUAAGGAUCUGAUGGAGGCGUUUGCAGCCUGUCUGAAGAGUGCGGCGGAGGCGUCGUGAGGAGGAGCUAGGCUCACAGGAAAUGUCCACUGCAUUGAGUCCUCCAUGUUUACCAGUAUUCCCUUCUGCACAACGAGCACUGGGCUGAAUGAUACUGGCGGUGUUUGGCGCCUGGCAGAAACCCUCCACCUCUUACCUACCCCCCCCUCGAAGCUUAAAUGGUGUCUUCCGAUUUGUAUCCCCUGCUCUGCUCCCACCGUGGCUGAGUACAUCCAUUGGUAGACAAUUCCCAGAUAGCCCAUGGGUUUUAUGUAAGUUGUCCACUUAAGAUGCAUACAUUUAAAAUGGAAUAAUAAACUCUAAAAGAAAUUGGUAUAACA